UUGUUAGCAUGGAAUAAUGGAAUAGGACGUGUGGUUCUAUUUUGUUGGUUUCUAGGACCGCCGUAAUGAUAAAUAGGGACAGUCGGGGGCAUCAGUAUUCAAUUGUCAGAGGUGAAAUUCUUGGAUCUAUUGAAGACUAACUACUGCGAAAGCAUUUGCCAAGGAUGUUUUCAUUGAUAAGGAACGAAAGUUAGGGGAUCGAAGACGAUCAGAUACCGUCGUAGUCUUAACUAUAAACUAUGCCGACUAGGGAUCGGACGAUGUUAUCUUUUGACGCGUUCGGCACCUUUCGAGAAAUCAAAGUGCUUGGGCUCCAGGGGGAGUAUGGUCGCAAGGCUGAAACUUAAAGAAAUUGACGGAAGGGCACCACCAGGGGUGGAACCUGCGGCUUAAUUUGACUCAACACGGGGAAACUCACCAGGUCCAGACACAGUGAGGAUUGACAGAUUGAGAGCUCUUUCUUGAUUCUGUGGGUGGUGGUGCAUGGCCGUUCUUAGUUGGUGGAGUGAUUUGUCUGCUUAAUUGCGAUAACGGACGAGACCUUAACCCGCUAAAUAGCCCGUACUGCUUUGGCAGUUCGCUGGCUUCUUAGAGGGACUAUCGGCUCAAGCCGAUGGAAGUUUGAGGCAAUAACAGGUCUGUGAUGCCCUUAGAUGUCCUGGGCCGCACGCGCGUUACACUGACAGAGCCAGCGAGUAUUUCCUUGACCGGAAGGUCCGGGUAAUCUUGUUAAACUCUGUCGUGCUGGGGAUAGGGCAUUGCAUAC
rnacentral:rRNA from 1 species